CGGUGCUGAAAUUACAAGUGUGAGCCACCGCUCCAGGCCCCUCUGCUCUUUAGAUGUGUAGUAGUUUGAUUUUUUUGUCCUCUAGUGAUGCUGCAGCUCAGAGACAAAGGCACAGUCUUUAUCCUGAUGGGCAACACCCUGUCAUCUGGCUUCUGUGACCUCUUUGGUUUCUUGACUCUGGCACAGGGAGUGCUGUGUCAACGGGAUCUCUUCCCCUGUGGUCUCUCCUUCUGUACUUGAUUCCAUCUGAUGCUCCGUUCUCUGUUCCUGUAGAUCAGAGCUGAGGCCUCCAUACACCUACCCCUUGACCUAUUCAGGUUCCAUCCCAUUUCCUGUACUUGGAACACCUAAUUAGGAGAUGAGAAAACCCGGGCUGCUCCUCUGCAUCUGGGGCCCGGGAUACUGCACAGAGCCCUCUCUGGUUGUUCAAAUAGUUGGCUUGCCUAUUUGAAAUAGGAAAAAAGGCCGUGCGCGGUGGCUUAUGCCAUCAUUUGGAGAGGCUGAGGAGGGCAGAUCACUUGAAGUCGGGAGUUUGAGACCAGCCUGGCCAACAUGGUGAAACCUCGUUUCUACUAAAAAUACCAAAAGUAACCGGGCGUGGUGGUGGGUGUCUAUAAUCCCAGCUACUCAGGAGACUGAGGCAGAAGAAUCUCUUGAAACCAGGAGGUGGACUUUGCAGUGAGCCGAGAUUUUGACACUACACUUUGCCUUGGCGACAAAGUGAGACUCCGUCCCACCCGCCAAAAAAUAAAAAAAAAAAUAAAUUUAAAAAAGUGUUUUCCCUACUCUCUCAUGCCACUGAGCACAGAAUGCCUCCGUUCUGAUCACCAAAAUUUGUGGAUUUCUCCCCAACCACAUCUUGGAGUGCAGUGGUGUGAUCUCGGCUCACCACAACCUCCGUUUCCAGGUUGAAACGAUUCUCCUGCCUCAGCCUCCCGAGUAGCUGGCAAAGAGCAAGACCUCAUCUCAAAAUAAAAUAAAAUAUAUGAGAACAAAGUUACUCAAAGUACGAAAGGCUAAUCAGAGACUGAAAAGAAAGCAACCAUUUGUCUCUUAUCUACCUAUGUCCUGGAACCCCCCUCCCCGGCUUUGAGUUGUUCUACCUUUCCCGACUGAACCAAUGUACCUCUGACACUUACUGAUUGAUAUGACAUGUCUCCCUAAAAUGUAAGGUCUACCUAGACCAUAUUGGGCACAUGCCAUUAGGACCUCCUGAGCCUGCGUCAUGCGCAUACUCUUAACCUUGGCAAGAUAAACUUUCUAAACUGAUUGAGAUGUCUAGAUACUUGGCUCACAAACUAUUUUUAAAGUCCCAGGUGAUUUAUUUUAGCAGCUAUAAGAAAAAUCUGGGCUGGUACGGUGGCUCAUGCCUGUAAUCCCAGCACCUUGGGAGGCCAAGGCGGGCAGAUCACAAGGUCAGGAGUUCGAGACCAUCCUGGCCAAGAUGGUGAAACCCUGUCUCUAGUGAAAAUACAAAAAUUAGCGGGUGUCUUGGGCACGUGCCUCUAAUCCCAGCUACUCCGGAGGCUGAGGCUGGAGAAUCGCUUGAUCCAGGGAGUCGUGGCUUGCAGUGAGCCGAGACUGUGCCACUUCUCUCUAGCCUGGUGACAGAGCAAGACUCUGUCCAAAAAAAAGAAAAAA
rnacentral:lncRNA from 1 species